GUCACACGCCCGCGCCGGUGUUACCCGGCCGCACGCCACCGCCGGCUAGCGGCCGGGCUGCGCGGUGACGCGUCCGCCUGACGGUCUCGGCGGGCUUUGACGCCGGACGCCGGCUUGAAAGGAAGGUGAUGGGCCAGAUGAGGCCCAAUGAUCACAGUGUGCCAACAAGUGAUGGAGAGGAAAGGCUCUCCUUUUAGGAAAUAACUGCAAAGUAUUUCGUGCGGGUGACGUGUCAUGCUAAUAAAUGAAUACAUAAUCACACAUAGUAUGCAAGCAAAGACGGCAAGACGUUAACGACGGCGGACUCCAGUGGCAGGAAUGCAGGUGUUCAUUCGCCCAACUCUUCCUGUUGAAAAAGCUGUCUAAGCCCUUUCAGCAGCAGAGGCGCUGCGGAGCAGGACGAGCCCCCGCCGCACCAGCCGGUCCUCGCGGAGGUGCGGGGCGGCGAAACGACACAUCCCCGCGCUGCAGAGAGGACGGGGCUCCGCGCAGCGAAAAAGCCUAAGGAAGACGACAAAGCCUAAAGAAAAGAGCGAUUUCAGCAGACAUUCAGUGAAUGUCUGCCAGGAAAUUUCACCAAAAGAAUGCAAGGAAAUGCACCAACAUAUAGUGUUUUUUCAAAAUUUUUUAUUUAUUGAUUGAUUGGCUGUGUUGGGUCUUCGUUGCUGCAGGUCGGCUUUCUUUAGUUGCAGUGAGCGAGAUCCCCAUUGCCAUGGCUUCUCUUGUUGCGGAGCACGGGCUCCAGGCCUCCUCCCUCCCACUUUGAUGGAAAAGUGCAUCUGCAUCACAUGUGAGCCAGACCUCCUCAGAGGUGGGAGUGCCUGCUGGACGGUAACUUUUCAAAGUCUGCUGUGCGUCGCAGGCAAGAACCAUCCAUGGAUACUAAAAUCAGUGGCAAAGGAUGGUGACAAAUGUGAUAUCUGCGUAGCCUCAAAAGUCCGUAUCCGUUACAGUGGGGAAAACAGUAACUUUACAAAGGAGGAAGCUGGCAGACACACCUUCACUCAGGAUGGAGAUCUGCAGCACCAGCGCAAGGUGUGUGCACAUCAUGUGCCCUCGAUAUGCUGCACUGAAAGGACAGCCUCACUUUGGUCGUGUUCCUGCCCCAAACACACCACCUGCACCUACUCAGGAGAAACAGCAGACGCACCCAGACUAGGGUCUUCCUCAACAUAAGCAAUCCACGCUCUUUCCAUGUGUCAAGGUCAUGAAAGACAAAGACUGGGAAGCUGUCCCAGGUUGAAGGCGGCUCGGGAGACUUGAUCGGGAGGGACCAGGCAGAGGACUGUGGUGGGGCAGCAGUGAAACGUGUGUGGAUUCUGGACACGCGCUCAUCACAGUGCGUCUCAAGGCUCAUUUCCUGCUUUUCAUAAGUACACUACGUUUAGGCCUGUGUAAGAGGUUAAUUAACAUUUAGGGAAACUGGAUGAAGAGUUUACGAAACCUUCAUCUAAAACUAUUUCAGUAUAAAAAGUUUUUAAAAAUAGAAAAGCAAAAACAAAGUCUGAGAGGACUUGGGGAAAGGAUAUAUUUUCCCAGUUCUACACACAUUACACACCCUCCACCCCAUUCCACCCCGAGGGCAGGGUUCUUCUCUGUCCUGCUUGUCUGCACCCAGGACGGUGCCUAAGAGGUGACAGUAUGCAGAACAGCUGUGAAUAACUCACAAAUUAGCAACGGAAGUGUGUCCGCGUCUUCCACAAAUGACAAACACCAGCACCUCUCAUUCCCUGCAGCACCGUGGGGCUGCACGUGUCAUCCUCAGGGUGUCCUGCUUGUGUUUGUUUUCUGGGAUGUAGAAAAACCCCUGUUCCUGGAUCCUCUGCGUUUUCCUAGGUCGUGGUCUCUCAACUCCAGGCUCGACUUGGUGAAGACAGGUAGGCCCGGGGGGGCGGGGGGGUGUGUGUGUGUGUGUGUGUGUGUGUGUGAGAGAGAGAGAGAGAGAGAGACAUCCUUGCGGCAUGAUUUUGCACCCGUGCUAGGAAGCGUGUACAUGGUGUACCAGGGAGGUGACUCAGUUUCCUGGAGCUGCUAGAACAAAGUGCCCAAAACUGGGUGGCUUAGAACAGUAGAAAGCUAUUGUCUCCCAGUUCCAGAGGUUAGAAUUCUGAAAUCAAUGUGUCCAAAGGGCCAGACUUCCUCUGAAGGCUCCGGGGAGGGUCCUUCCUGCCUGUUCCUGCUUCUGGGGCUCCUGGUGUCCCUGGGCUUGUGGCAGCAUCACAGCAGCUCCGCCUCUGUCAUUGGCCCACCCUAAUCCACUGUUAACCUCAUCGUAACUAAGUAUAUCUGCAAAGAUCUUAUUUCCAAAUGAAGGUCACACUCUGAGGUUCUGGGUGGAUGUGGAGGACACUGUUGAACACACUACAGAAGAUGUAAAGAAGAUAAAAUAAAUAAUAGUCACUACCAUCCAUCUAACGAGGGCCUGCUGUACAUCUGAAAAGAAUCCUGGAAGGGUGGGGUGGUUUUUUCCCUUUUGUAGGUGAGCAAAGAGGCUUACAGGUUACGUUCUUGCCCAGAAUCUGAAAAAGACAAGGCGAAAGUAACACCCAGGCCAGCCCGUGUGUCCAGCACAGCUGUGAGCGCCCUGUAUCUGAGCCAGGACCGCUUCACGGGUGGCAGGGGGUCCACGUGUGCAGUCAACAGCACAGUCCCAAUCCUGGUGUAGCUCUGGUGCUGCCUUCUUGAAAUUCUCAGUACUUUUUGAACAAGGGCCCGAAGAUUCAUCCUGCACAUGCGUUAGACAGCCCGUCCUCUCCAGCUGUUGUUGUGGCCAAGCCUCUCCCCCUGCCAGACCCCCACCCCAUCCUCUGUGCGCCCUGCUGCUCAGAGCUGCUCUCCAGACAGAUGGACGGACAGGUGGACGCAAACCCAUUCACCGCAUGUUGUGUGCUUCUCCCCCCAUAUUUAUCCCUCAAUUGUUAGUAUAGAAAAUUAGGGGAAUAAAAAAAAAGUUAAGGGAGGGAACCAAUCAUAGUCUCAUAGCCUAAAGGAAAAUUUUCUGACAGAUCUGUUUAUUUUCUGUGCAUAGGAUUUUCAUUAAGUGUAUGUUAAUUUAAUAGAAUAUGUUAAUUAUAUUAAUCACGCUAUAUUGAAACUGCUUUUCAAUAACAUAUCUAGCAUUUUCCCAUGAUAUCAACUUCUCAAGAAUAUGGAAUAUUCCAAAAUAAAACUUUUUCUCUAAAAACAAAGAGUCCUUUAAAUAAAACUUUGGGAAAAUACAGAAAAGCAUAGGAAAUUGUUAAAUACCCAUCCCCACCUCCAGUGAUGGCUGCUGUUGACAUGGGUGAGUAUCUGUCAGUCCCGCAGGUGCCUGGACCCCACCGAGCCCCAGGGACUCAGAACCUCCAGGGAAAAGGGCCGGGAACUCGGCGUUUCAACAAGCACCCAGUGCGGCCAACAUUGGGUCCUGGGAGACAACGGUUCUAUAAACACUUCUUCCCGACUACACAGGGCUCUUUGCUGUGGACAGAGGCUGGCAUGGAGAUGGCUUCUGAAUUCUAGGGUGGAUGUUUUUAUAGAUAAAUCUCCUGUCCACCCAUUAAUUUUCCCUCAAAUAAAUUCCUGGCAUCAACUGCUGUAAUUGCGAAGUUUCAUUUAGAAGUAAGUGUAACUGAGCAG